ensembl:snoRNA
UGCAGCCUUGUCAAAUUCAGUGUGAUCUCUUUGGUAGACCUCACUGGCCAAAAUGGCUGCCACAGGAACUGUAGUUCAUGAGCCCCGCCUCCUGACACCGUGGAGAAUGGGGAUAAAUUUGUGCUACAGACAAUU